UAAGCUAGAAAGAGCUUAUGGUGGAUGCCUAGGCAUUCAGAGUUGAAGAAGGACGUGACCGGCUGCGAAAAGCCGCGGGGAGCUGCUAAAUAAGCGUAGAUCCGUGGAUAUCCGAAUGGGGCAACCCACCAGUGUGGAGCACUGGUAUUAUGCAGUGAAAGAAGUAGCUGUGUAAGAACAAGCAGGAGAAUUGAAACAUCUUAGUACCCUGAGGAAAAGAAAUCAAAACGAGAUUCCCUUAGUAGCGGCGAGCGAAGGGGGAGAAGUCCAAACACUAAAAGUGUAAACCUGUAGGUGUUGCUUUUAGUGGGUGUGGGAUAUUGUUAAUUAGAGGCUACAGCCUCUAGAUGGCUUAAAUUUUUUGCUAAGUCGAAGGGACUGGAAAGUUCCGCCAGAGAGGGUAAUAGCCCUGUAGGCGAAAAGCAAAAGAAGUCAAACGAUAUCCAGAGUAUCACGGGACACGAGAAACCCUGUGAGAAUAUGGGAGGACCACCUUCCAAGACUAAAUACUCCUGAAUGACCGAUAGUGAACAAGUACCGUGAGGGAAAGGUGAAAAGAACCCCGGAAGGGGAGUGAAAUAGAAACUGAAACCGUAAGCUUACAACAAGUAGGAGGACUAUUAGAAAGUCUGACUGCGUACUUUUUGUAUCACGGACCGGCGAGUUACUGAUCGUAGCAAAAGGUUAAGCCAUAGAGGUGUAGCCAGAGCGAAAGCGAGUCUGAAUAGGGCGGAAGUUAUGAUGAGUAGACCCGAAACCGAGUGAUCUAUCCAUGACCAGGGUGAAGCGGGUGUAAGAGCCUGUGGAGGCCCGAACCCGGUGUUGUUGAAAAAACAUGGGAUGAGUUGUGGAUAGGGGUGAAAGGCCAAUCGAACUCGGAGAUAGCUGGUUCUCCUCGAAAUAGCUUUAGGGCUAGCCUCAGAGUAAAAGUUAAUUGGUUGUAGAGCACUGAUUGGACAAGGGGCCCAACAAGGUUACCAAAUCCAUUCAAACUCCGAAUGCCAAUUAAUGUUCUCUGGGAGUCAGACUGUGGGGGAUAAGCUUCAUAGUCAAGAGGGAAAGAGCCCAGACCACCAGAUAAGGUCCCAAAGUAUAUGCUAAGUGGAAAAGGAAGUGAGAUCGCACAGACAACCAGGAUGUUGGCUUAGAAGCAGCCAUUCAUUUAAAGAGUGCGUAAUAGCCCACUGGUUAAGCGGUUUCGCGCCGAAAAUGUAACGGGGCUAAAGCAUAUCACCGAAGCUGUGGUUUCUAGGAACUGUCAGGUUUUAUGGGCGGUUUCUAGAGAGGUAGAGGAGCAUUGUGUGCUGGGUGAAGCUAUACCGUAAGGAGUAGUGGACGGCACAGAAGAGAGAAUGCCGGUAUGAGUAACGAAAAAAGGAGUGAGAAUCUCCUUCGCCGAAAGUCUAAGGAUUCCUGAGGAAGGCUCGUCCUCUCAGGGUUAGUCGGGACCUAAGCUGAGGCCGAAAGGCGUAGGUGAUGGAAAAUCGGUAAAGAUUCCGAUACCACUGUAAAUUGAUUGAGUGAAGUGGGGACGCGGUAAAGAAGGUGGAGCAUGUGACUGGAAGAGCAUGUAUAAGCUAUUAAGCUGGGGUAAGGAGGCAAAUCCCUUUACCCAUCUAAACAGCUUAAAGUGAUGUGGAGCCAAAAGAGGCGAAGCCACCGGAUAAAUCGCCAAGAAAAACCACUAACGAGAUUUACAGUGCCCGUACCGCAAACCGACACAGGUAGACGGGAAGAGAAUUCUAAGGCGCGCGAGAGAACCCUUGUUAAGGAACUCGGCAAAAUGACCCCGUAACUUCGGGAGAAGGGGUACCCUUUAGGAAUACCUAGAGGGUCGAAGUGAAAAGAUCCAAGCGACUGUUUAUCAAAAACACAGGUCUCUGCUAAGUCGUAAGACGAAGUAUAGGGGCUGACGCCUGCCCGGUGCUGGAAGGUCAAGGAGAAGGCUUAGUACUUAUGUACGAAGGUCUGAACCUAAGCCCCAGUAAACGGCGGCCGUAACUAUAACGGUCCUAAGGUAGCGAAAUUCCUUGUCGGGUAAGUUCCGACCUGCACGAAUGGCGUAACGACUUGGAUGCUGUCUCAACAAGGGACUCGGUGAAAUUAAAUUGCCUGUGAAGAUGCAGGCUACCUGCGACAGGACGGAAAGACCCCGUGGAGCUUUACUGCAGCCUGAUAUUGGGUUUUGGUGUAGAAUGUACAGGAUAGGUGGGAGGCAUUGAAGCUGGUAUGCUAAUAUCAGUGGAGCCGUUGGUGGGAUACCACCCUUUCUACAGCGGAAUUCUAACUGGAGGCCAUAAACUGGUCACAGGACAUUGUCAGGCGGGCAGUUUGACUGGGGCGGUCGCCUCCCAAACAGUAACGGAGGCGCUCAAAGGUUCCCUCAGUGCGGAUGGAAAUCGCACGAAGAGUGUAAAGGCAGAAGGGAGCUUAACUGCGAGACAAACAAGUCGAGCAGGUACGAAAGUAGGACUUAGUGAUCCGGCGGUAUAGUGUGGAAUUGCCGUCGCUCAACGGAUAAAAGUUACCCCGGGGAUAACAGGCUUAUCUCCCCCAAGAGUUCACAUCGACGGGGAGGUUUGGCACCUCGAUGUCGGCUCAUCGCAUCCUGGAGCUGAAGCAGGUUCCAAGGGUUGGGCUGUUCGCCCAUUAAAGCGGUACGCGAGCUGGGUUCAGAACGUCGUGAGACAGUUCGGUCCCUAUCCGUCGCAGGCGGAGGAUACUUGAGGAGAGCUGUCCCCAGUACGAGAGGACCGGGAUGGACACACCGAUGGUGAAUCAGUUGUUCCACCAGGAGCAUAGCUGAGUAGCUAAGUGUGGGAAAGAUAAACGCUGAAAGCAUCUAAGCGUGAAACAAACUCCAAGAUAAGGUAUCCCACUCUGUUAAAGAGUUAAGAUCCCUUAAAGAUGAUAAGGUAGAUAGGCCGGAGGUGUAAAUGUAGUAAUACACUGAGCUGACCGGUACUAAUAGAUCGAGGGCUUAA
rnacentral:rRNA from 1 species